AUGCACGCUGGCGGCGUGCCUAAUCCCUGCAAGUCGCGCGCACGGACGAGAAGCUUGCUUCUCUGAUGUUAGCGGCGGACGGGUGAGUAACACGUGGAUAACCUACCUAUAAGACUGGGAUAACUUCGGGAAACCGUAGCUAAUACCGGAUAAUAUUUUGAACCGCAUGGUUCAAAAGUGAAAGACGGUCUUGCUGUCACUUAUAGAUGGAUCCGCGCUGCAUUAGCUAGUUGGUAAGGUAACGGCUUACCAAGGCAACGAUGCAUAGCCGACCUGAGAGGGUGAUCGGCCACACUGGAACUGAGACACGGUCCAGACUCCUACGGGAGGCAGCAGUAGGGAAUCUUCCGCAAUGGGCGAAAGCCUGACGGAGCAACGCCGCGUGAGUGAUGAAGGUCUUCGGAUCGUAAAACUCUGUUAUUAGGGAAGAACAUAUGUGUAAGUAACUGUGCACAUCUUGACGGUACCUAAUCAGAAAGCCACGGCUAACUACGUG
rnacentral:rRNA from 1 species